UACUAUAUAUGAAAAAAAAAAUUUCUACUCUGCAUCUUAUGUCUAAUUCGGAUCGUAUUCAAAUUAGACAAGAGAUAAUAUUAUGACUUAUCAGCUAUUAGCACCCACCCUCACUGGAUCCUCUCUCAUGAUGCCAAAAAUCACAAUCCAAAUCCAAUUAGGUGUGGAGAAAUUGGUAUGGAUCCAGAUGUGGCGCAAA
rnacentral:lncRNA from 1 species